GAAGUAAAAAGUCGUAACAAGGUUUCCGUAGGUGAACCUGCGGAAGGAUCAUUACAGUAGUCGCCCGGGUUGCCGCAAGGCCUCCCGGGUAACCUACCACCCUUUGUUUAUUACACUUUGUUGCUUUGGCAGGCCUGCCCUCGGGCUGCUGGCUCCGGCCGGCGAGCGCUUGCCAGAGGACCUAAACUCUGUUUGUCUAUACUGUCUGAGUACUAUAUAAUAGUUAAAACUUUCAACAACGGAUCUCUUGGUUCUGGCAUCGAUGAAGAACGCAGCGAAAUGCGAUAAGUAAUGUGAAUUGCAGAAUUCAGUGAAUCAUCGAAUCUUUGAACGCACAUUGCGCCCCCUGGUAUUCCGGGGGGCAUGCCUGUCCGAGCGUCAUUACAACCCUCAAGCUCAGCUUGGUGUUGGGCCCCGCCGCCCCGGCGGGCCCUAAAGUCAGUGGCGGUGCCGUCCGGCUCCGAGCGUAGUAAUUCUUCUCGCUCUGGAGGUCCGGUCGUGUGCUCGCCAGCAACCCCCAAUUUUUUUCAGGUUGACCUCGGAUCAGGUAGGGAUACCCGCUGAACUUAAGCAUAUCAAUAAGC
rnacentral:rRNA from 1 species